rnacentral:rRNA from 1 species
UUCCUACGGGAGGCAGCAGUUAAGAAUCUUGCGCAAUGGGGGCAACCCUGACGCAGCGACGCCGCGUGGACGAUGAAGGCCUUCGGGUUGUAAAGUCCGAUAAGCAGGGAAGAAUAAGCAGCGGGAAAUAUUCGCUGUGAUGACGGUACCUGCCUAAAGCCCCGGCUAACUACGUGCCAGCAGCCGCGGUAAUACGUAUGGGGCUAGCGUUGUUCGGAAUUAUUGGGCGUAAAGGGCGUCUAGGCGGGGAAUUAAGUUAGGUGUGAAAUCCCUGGGCUCAACCCAGGAACUGCAUCUAAAACUGGUUCUCUUGAGUUCGGGAGAGGAGAGCGGAAUUCCCGGUGUAGCGGUGAAAUGCGUAGAUAUCGGGAAGAACACCAGUGGCGAAGGCGGCUCUCUGGCCUAGAACUGACGCUGAAGCGCGAAAGCGUGGGGAGCGAACGGGAUUAGAUACCCGAGUAGUCA